CCUACGGGUGGCAGCAGUCGAGAAUCAUUCACAAUGGGGGAAACCCUGAUGGUGCGACGCCGCGUGGGGGAAUGAAGGUCUUCGGAUUGUAAACCCCUGUCAUGUGGGAGCAAAUUAAAAAGAUAGUACCACAAGAGGAAGAGACGGCUAACUCUGUGCCAGCAGCCGCGGUAAUACAGAGGUCUCAAGCGUUGUUCGGAAUCACUGGGCGUAAAGCGUGCGUAGGCUGUUUCGUAAGUCGUGUGUGAAAUGCGCGGGCUCAACCCGCGGGCGGCACAUGAUACUGCGAGACUAGAGUAAUGGAGGGGGAACGGGAAUUCUGGGGGUAGCAGGGAAAUGCGGAGA
rnacentral:rRNA from 1 species